CAGUAGCCGCGGUAAUACGUAGGGUGCGAGCGUUAAUCGGAUUCACUGGGCGUAAAGCGUGCGCAGGCGGCCCGUUAAGACAGGUGUGAAAUCCCUGGGCUCAACCUAGGAAUUGCGCUUGUGACUGGCGGGCUCGAGUACGGUAGAGGGGGGUGGAAUUCCUGGUGUAGCAGUGAAAUGCGUAGAGAUCAGGAGGAACACCGAUGGCGAAGGCAGCCCCCUGGGCCUGUACUGACGCUCAUGCACGAAAGCGUGGGGAGCGAACAGGAUUAGAUACCCCUGUAGUCCCUGUCUCUUAUAC
rnacentral:rRNA from 1 species